rnacentral:lncRNA from 1 species
UUUUUUGCCUUGAGCUGUGAUGGUAUUGAACUGGUUAGCCAAAGGUUGCCUUGGCAGGAUGUUGCAACUUUGGAAAACAACUGCUGCAUUCCCAAAAAUGAAGUCAAUUGUGCCCAAAAUGUCACAUUCCCGGUAAAACUGACGAUUGGAAUGGGCAUAGAGAGUGUCCUGGUAGGCAUCAAAUGCACAGCGGUAGAAUACGGAGCGAUCAGAACCAGACCGCAUAGCCACUGCUUGGUGCUUUGCUGCACCAGCUGUGUUAAUGAACCCUAUGCCCUUUGCAAUGAAUCCUUUUCCUGCCACAGCUGGUGAUUCAUACAAGAAUCAUCAGUAAUUGACAAAAUACAAGUGCAUGAAACUUUUAAGGUAGUAUUCCUAGAUUUAAUAACAAGUAGAAAGUUAAUUCUUCAACUUAUUCUAUUUUAAGACACUUUCCUAUAGAGUAGGCAAACUUCAACUACAAAUGCACAUGAUCCAAUGUGCAACAUUUUCUCCCGGAAGAGCCAUUUUACAGAAAUUGAGGAGAAAUUGUGUUCAAGCCUAAACAACAUCGCACAAAACCGGCAAACAUGUUGCACUGCAGGAAGUGAAUUUAUUCCCCGUCUUUAGGCCCCUUUAUUCAACCGCUUGUUUAAUCUCUGUCCAGUUCAAAGUCAAGUUCAAGCUUUUAAACUUGAAAAUGAGAAAGGAAAACUAGGUUUUAAAUUGGUUUUCAAGGAAUGUUUCAUCAAAACUAGCAUCUCCAAUAAAUUUUUAUUCCUUUCUUUAUAGGAAACUCCAGGAAAAAUGACAUCAAGCUCUCAGAAACAUGUUUUCCACAUCCGCAUCAAUGCUAAAAUCCAUUUCAAACAACAUUAAGAAAUUACCUUUUCCAGGUUUCAAGAUCAUGUUACUAAAACUUCUAGACAAACUUGCAAUAAUAAAACCAUUAAAAUUGAGCAAUCCCCAUUGACAUCAGACAAUGAUCAGUUCAGAUCACCUUCUAAUAAAUGAAGCUUCAGGGGAGCAUUUAAGGACAAUACCAAGAGCUAGUGAAUUAGUAAUUCUAACUCAGCUAGUAUGGUAGUAUCUCAGUUGCAGGCCUUCUAAAUUGUUUGGGAUGAUUGGGACAAGAUACAAAGAUACUAGCAAAUCACAAUGUAGACAGGCUCAUAAAUGGGGCAAUCUAGAAACUAUUGUCAGGCUCCAUUGAAACUACAAAUCUAGAACUGAUCAAAGUAAAUGAAGAUUGAAUAUGACUUACCGAAAGUAGCUGUAGCAAAUGUGGGAGUUCCAUCAACAAAGUUGUGGCUGCCGGAAAUUAAAGUCUUUGUUUUGCCAUCACCGUAAAUCAUCACAUUCCACAUGUGUUUAUCAAGAAUCACAUUCUCAACAUACUUGCCUUCCUUCACAUAUAUAACGAACCUUGAUUCAUUCUUUUUUCCUACCAAUUUCACCGCAUCAUUAAUGGUCAAGACAUUCCCGGAACCAUCUAGAGCCACAAUAACAUUGGGGGUAGGUUUGGAUUCCUGCAAUAGUCUCCUUUCAGUGGGACUAACCCAAGCCGGGAACUCCGAACCUGCU